GACGAACGCUGGCGGCGUGCCUAAUACAUGCAAGUCGAGCGCAGGAAACUGACGGAACUCUUCGGAGGGAAGGCAGUGGAAUGAGCGGCGGACGGGUGAGUAACACGUAAGGGACCUGCCUCAAGGAUUGGGAUAACUCCGAGAAAUCGGAGCUAAUACCGGAUAGUUCAACGGACCGCAUGGUCCGCUGAUGAAAGGCGCUUCGGCGUCACCUUGAGGUGGCCUCGCGGUGCAUGAGCUAGUUGGUGGGGUAACGGCCCACCAAGGCGACGAUGACUAACCGACCUGAGAGGGUGAUCGGCCACACUGGGACUGAGACACGGCCCAGACUCCUACGGGAGGCAGCAGUAGGGAAUCUUCCACAAUGGACGAAAGUCUGAUGGAGCAACGCCGCGUGAGUGAUGAAGGUUUUCGGAUCGUAAAACUCUGUUGUAAGGGAAGAACACGUACGAGAGGAAAUGCUCGUACCUUGACGGUACCUUACGAGAAAGCCACGGCUAACUACGUGCCAGCAGCCGCCGUAA
rnacentral:rRNA from 1 species